UACGGAGGAGGCAAGCGUUAUCCGGAAUUAUUGGGCGUAAAGCGUCCGUAGGUGGCUAUCCAAGUCUGCUGUCAAAGGAUGGAGCUUAACUCCAUAAAGGCAGUGGAAACUGGGUGGCUAGAGUGCGAUAGGGGCAAGGGGAAUUCCCAGUGUAGCGGUGAAAUGCGUAGAUAUUGGGAAGAACACCGGUGGCGAAAGCGCCUUGCUGGGUCUGCACUGACACUGAGGGACGAAAGCUAGGGGAG
rnacentral:rRNA from 1 species